AACGCAUAUUGCACUCCUUUUGGGAGUAUGCCUGUUUGAGAAUCUAUAGUAUUUUUUUUUCCUAGUUUACUUGGAAAAGAUUUGGCGAAUCUCUUAGUUUUUUAAGAGUACGCUUAAAGCUAAUAGCUAAGUCACCAAAAGAGUGCCAAAGCAAAACUGUUUGAAACUCAUUAGAGUAAAACCCCUACUAUUUUGUUUUGGGAAAACAUUCCUAGGUAAUUUAGCUCAAAAAGGAUUCUUCAAGAAGAACCAAGGAGGUUUUUAUCACUUUAUAUUAUUGUUAGUGUUUAACCCGAACCAUGGUCUCAAAUCAGGUAGGAGGACCCGCUGAACUUAA
rnacentral:misc_RNA from 1 species